UGGAGACUGACUCCCAUCCACAACAAAUCCACAUUGCAACCGAAUGCCACGAGGUCAGCUGGGCUCAUUCACAUCACAUACAAUUCACACUCCUGGCGUCAUGACCUGCCAUGGCUUUUCAGGUUCUGGCUGAAUUCUUGGCAAGUUCCAGUAAUUCGAUCAGUGGAUGGCUACAAAAAAGAGAAAGUCUUCAAAGAGCAGAUGGCAUUUGCACUUGAAAAGCUCCACUGUGUUGAGAUGGAUGGAAUGUGUCCCAUCAAAUGUACAGACUUAGAGAUGACAUCAAGAUGCGGUUACGGUAACUACAGAAGGCUCCUGUUAGAAGGCAGAAUCUAAACAGUUUGGCUUAGAAAGUGAGCCACUGGGCUGAGCUAAGAGUUUGGAUGUGGUUCUGCAGGUGGUGAAUGUGGCAAAGAUGGUUCCACCCAAAUCCAUACUAUACUUCCCCAGUGUGAGUUCCCACUGAGAAGGGGC
rnacentral:lncRNA from 10 species